GACGUAGGGGGCCAGCGUUGCUCGGAAUAACUGGGCGUAAAGGGUUCGUAGGCGGUGUGGCAAGUCGGGAGUGAAAUCCUGAGGCUUAACUUCAGGACUGCUUCCGAAACUGCCAUGCUCGAGUGCGGGAGAGGCGAGUGGAAUUGCAGGUGUAGCGGUGAAAUGCGUAGAUAUCUGCAGGAACACCAGUGGCGAAGGCGGCUCGCUGGACCGCAACUGACGCUGAGGAACGAAAGCUAGGGGAGCAAACAGG
rnacentral:rRNA from 1 species